ACCGUUUGGAAUUUUCAGAGCUGAAUGUGGAGAAGUGAGAGUGAAGUCUAAUGCAAUUAUGGAGGUCUGGCUCAGAAUAUGUUCCAAUUUUCUUCUAGUGUGACUUCCCUUUCCUGUGAAGAGCAGGAAGCUAAAACAGAAGUUUCUCCAGUUUGUUUCCAGCUGGUGAUCCAGGUUUGAUUCAGCUUGCAUUUCAGAUGCAAUCACAUGAGACUUGAAAUUUGAACUGAGAUAAAUGGGAUAUCGGGCAUGCAUUUGAUCAGUGUGGAUUAUAGCAAAUGUGGCGUGGUUCUGGAGCCAAACUCUGUCUCUGAGGCUUGCCGAUGUAGCAGAAAUAGAUUCUGGGUAGUGGAAAAGCUGGCAUGACUGGGGGACCUUGAAGCUAGAGUGGCAGCUUCCUGGUUUUGCACAUGCGGUUUCCUGAAUGGAGCACUGUGGUGCUGUCUGGAACCAGUAAAUGGUAGCUCAUUCAGUGGCUCAGCCUGAGGCAGUCCUGUGUUUAUAUAUGCAGUAAAGGGUGCCUCCCGGUUUCACAAGCAGCUUCCUGAUCUGGCAGGAGCAGCUACUUUGGCAGCCUGGUUCUGCAGUACGGACUUGAGAAUAGAUUCUGCAAUUGCAUCCUACAGGUUUUUAUUCGACAGCCUUAAUAAUUCUGUAAGCCGUCUGGCAGGCUGUAAUCCUUUUAUUCAGAUUGUCCGGUGGGGAGUCUGCUCUCUGCCUCAGAAUACUGACCUGCAUGAAACCCCAGAGAUGACGCAGAACACAGGCCUUUCCUCUGUGGUCCAUUAAUCUCAUAGUUUCCCCCGUUUGGCCAUUUAGGAUUACCUCUUCUAUUUCUGAAAUGUGAGCUUUAAGGAGCCCUAAUUUUUAUGAGACUGUUAUGCCCCUCUAAUACCUUUGUUUUGCAUUUUCAACCCGUAAGCUCAAAAGACAUCCACAUAUAUUAUCUUCAGUAAUCUCCAAAUUAGUAAUUUUUAUACCUGCUUCAAAGAUGAGGAAACUGAAGCGCAGGGAUUAAUUACUUGCCAGAGCCACAGAGCUACUGGCAAGACACAAGUCCCACCGUGGGGUCUUUUUCUGUUUUAGCCAUAGUCUAACUUAUACCUUUUGAGAUUAAAAUCUCUAGUUGGUGCUGGUUUUAAACUGUAUGGCAUUAUUCAUUUUUAGGGACCCUUAAAGAAUCAUCUUAUUAAAGGUCAUUCUGUUGUUCUUCAGCCCCAAAACUUCCUUCUUACACCUAAAAGUAUUCAUGGACAAGGCUUGAAGGGGUCGACCUGCAGCAAGAUUAUUUUUUAUAGCCCUGAUUUAUAGAUUACAAAUAGGUUAUUUUCACAUUAAUUUGAUCCUCUUGGUAUUAGUAUCUCUGAGCUCAGACAGGCAGAAUGUUUUCUACAGGGUCCUACAGCUUGGUUAAGUCGCAGUGUAGAAGUUGGAAACCAAGUAGUCAUGGCCCUUUCUGCUAUUUCAGACUGCUCCCAAGUGAGUGAAGACUAGAUGAGAUGAAAAUGUUCAUAGUAUUCACCCUUUUUAUCCUCUUAGGAGUCAUGUUCAGCUUAGGGAAGAGAAAAACUGUUUGGUUAUCAGCUGCUUCUCUAUUUUGUUGCCAUAUUUUUCUAUCCUGAUAGAAUCUGAGUGCCUUCUACAAGCUACAGCUUAAGCUCUAUUUUGUUGCUGAAUUUUGUUGAAGCUUUAAGUGAACACUCUGCCUUCAUUUAAAAGCUGAUCUUGAGGAUUCUGGUAUCUGGGAGAAAGCUUUUUAGUCAUUUUUAAAGCAUCCCUUUUAAAGUCACCCCCCUUAUCCCUAGAUUCAGGUAUUCAGUAUUUUAGAGAGGGUACGGUCUUUAUUCUUUCCCACCAUGUCUGCCUGUUCAACUACUACAUCAAGGCUCAGUUCAAAUGCUCUCUCAGGAGACCUUUCCUCUCCCAUGUCUAUUCUUUAACCCUUAUUACAUUCUGUGUUUAUGUAAAUCUUAAUCCCCGAUUAAGUGAGAGCAGGGGCUGCAUCUUCAUCAGCUUUGUCCUCCGCAUGGUGCUGAACCAGUGCCUUGAGCACAGAAAAGCACCUGCUGCUCCCCAUGGAAGUGUCUGUCCUCAGUAAGCCCGUCCGUGGCUUCAGAAAUCAAAGAACUAGGAACUUUAACAACUAUUAUGCAACCCUAGAAGUACUUUACAAGAAUGAUUUUCAACAUUAUUAAUAUUUCAAAUUUUAUAAUUAGCAGUUACAAAUCUGCCAGUGCAGAGUCCUGUGAUCACAAAACUAAAUUAUCUCGUUUCACUUUGACACUAAAGUACAGUAAGACACCCAUUGCAGCCUGGUGUUUUGCAUUUUUGCCUCUUCCCCAUCUGGCCCCUGCCCACACUAUAUGCUCUAGCUCAUGAGUCAUCUUUUUAUUUGUGUGGUACAGAAAUGUGCUAUUCCUGACAUGAAGCCACAUGGGCAAUUUCCAAGUAGUUUUCAAAAUUGUCUAUGUGGACUGAUUUGUUUGUCAGUCAGAGAAGGAAUUAUCUGUUUUUGUAGGAAUGUCCAGUUCACGCAGGCUGGAGGGCCUGCCGCUGAUAUCAUUCUAUCAGGGACUCUUUUAACAGGGUUUGAUUUUCUCAUUCAGUUGUAGUAGUGGCCAGUAUGUAAUGGUACUGAAGAGGUACCGCAGCCAAAACUUACUUGCUGAGGAAAUGCUGGUCUGGGAGAGGCAGCCCAAGCAUUGAUUUUUUUUCAGUAUUCUAUGGGAAAGAAACACCACAUUCAGAGGAGUCUGAGGCAGUCAAUGAGCUGUAGAAAAGCCAGGUUCAAGACGUAACAGCCUCUUUCUCUCCUAGGUUUCAUUUUUCUACAUCUUUAAGUGAGGGACUGAAAUUAGAUUUAUAGGGUUCUUCCUUAAAUAUUUUAUUUUUCCUUCGCUUAACAGAAAUACUAAUAUGCUUUCAAAGUAACUUUCUGAAAAUGUUCUUACUUACAUAAUGGUUAAAAUGAUAAGGGGAAUGUGUCAUGGGGACUUGACCUUACACAAUUGUAGGAAGUGGCAAAGUGUAGUCUGUCAGUUUUCUAGUCUGAUGCUGGAACUUGAAGCCCACAGGACAGGCAGUCAGAAAGGAUGUAGAGUUGGGAAGAACAGGAACAAGCUGGAACCCAGAGGCAUGAGCUGGAGCCCACGAGGACACAUUAAAGUCUCAGUUCUUGCCUCUGACCUUGAUGGUGUGGGGAGACCCUUCAUCAGAGAAGCUGAAGGGAGAGCCGGGGACAGUGGAGCAGUUGCAGGCGCAGACGUGGAAUCACACUGAGAAGGUGAGCCAGCAGUUGUCAACAUCGGCUCUAGGCCCUAAAAGUCAAGAUGAAGAAUGAAAUGCUGAGGAAAAGCAACUUCUUCAUCACUGGGUACCUUCAGUGGAGAAAACUGACCUGUGAGUUACACCAUCCUUCACAGUCUAAGAGGUACCACUGUAAAUGAUGUAACCGACAGCAACAUCACAGUCUGGCUCUCAGGGAUUCUUUCCCCUUGGACACCAGAAUCCUUUUUUGUAGUGUGUAGACGAUUCUGCUGUGUUGACAGACCAUAAACACACUGAGAUUAAGGAGAAUGUAAUAAACACAUUUUAAUGCUUGUGUAGGAUGCUACGACUUAGACUCCGUGCUCCAGAACUCUUAGAUGUUACCUACAACCAUGAGUCUCAAACUGUUUUCUAAGCUUGGCACACAUGGUGGUUUCACCUGCUCAGCCCUAUUCCCUGGGGCUUCCUGGGGUUAUGCCACUAAGAAGGUGUUAACUAGAACUUCACCCCUCUUGCUGGCACUUACAAAAACACAUCAGAAAGCAAGUGAGUGCAAGUAAUAUUAUAGGGAUGACUUUCAGUCUGCAGGAACUUAAAAGAAAAGGCAAGCUUUGAAAUUUAAACCAUUAGUAACAGAGUAGUACUUGUAAUCCCACUUGAGUGUCACUACACUAUGGUUAAAAAAUUGUGCUUCCCCAAAACAGUAUGCAUGUAAAUGGUCCCCCCCAUGUUGGUGGGGAAAGACAAUAUGAGAACUAGUGCUAGGUAUUUCUUUUUAGCUCAAUUUUUAAAAAUUAAUGUUGUUUUAUAACAACUAAUACUGAAUAUUAGUACAUGUGUAGAAUUUAUAGAUAAAUAUCCAUAUAAUGAGCAUACAUGCUAAAACUUUUUUUUACUGAUCGGGGUACAAGAUCAAAAUUUUGAAACCAUCAACCUAAAAGAAAGUGCAACUCAUUUUCUUCAUUUAAAUUCAAAUUUUAGUACUCAAAGUUUUAGGAGAUAAAAAAAGAUAAAGCCAAAUGCUUUUCCUAUUAAUGAGUAAAAUCCAAAAUAAAAGCUACUGCAAUAGCUAGUAAUACACGUAAAAAAAGAGGAAGUUAACAGGGAGACAGCACUAGAAUGGAAUGAGAAUAGCAUCUUUCAACUAAAGAUGCAGUGACACCUUACACCCAUCCAUGCACGCCCAUGCACAUGGGUAGCAGUUAUUAUAUAAUCCCCUUGAACACUUCAGGGGAAAAAGAAUGUAACAAAAUGGACAGCUUCUUGGCAUUCUGCCAUGGUCUUUAGUAUUUGGUCUCUUCAAGAAAGGCAACUAGUUUGAUAGUUGACCCUACACUAUUUAGGAAAUGAAAGCCAUAUGUGAGAUUAGAAAAUCAUUUAGUUAUAGUGGAGGCACAACUCCAGGAUGGAAGAGCAGUGGGCACCUGAAAACUACUGCACAUCUUCUUUACCGACCAGAAGUUUCUUGUGGCCACGUGGUUUCAGGCCAGGCUUUUUCCAAGGGAACAGACUACACAUCGCCUAGUCUAUACAUACAGUCCACAGAGAGUCACAGUGGAACAAAGCCAUAGGCAGUGGGAGGAAGUGCAAUGGGCCCAGAAUGAACAGGGUGUAAGGUUCUGUAAUCUUCUAAACCAGUGAAAUUAGGAAGGACAGAAUCUGCAGUCAUAAAUUUAUGAGUCUAUAUUUAAAAAAAAAAAGUCAAUCACUGGAAACAUGGAUGAACCUUGAA